AUUGAACGCUGGCGGCAUGCCUUACACAUGCAAGUCGAACGGUAACGGGCCUUCGGGUGCCGACGAGUGGCGAACGGGUGAGUAAUACAUCGGAACGUGCCCGAUCGUGGGGGUUAACGAGGCGAAAGCUUUGCUAAUACCGCAUACGAUCUACGGAUGAAAGCAGGGGACCGCAAGGCCUUGCGCGGACUGAGCGGCCGAUGGCAGAUUAGGUCGUUGGUGGGAUAAAAGCUUACCAAGCCGACGAUCUGUAGCUGGUCUGAGAGGAUGAUCAGCCACACUGAGACUGAGACACGGCCCAGACUCCUACGGGAGGCAGCAGUGGGGAAUUUUGGACAAUGGGCGCAAGCCUGAUCCAGCCAUGCCGCGUGCAGGAUGAAGGCCUUCGGGUUGUAAACUGCUUUUGUGCGGAACGAAAAGCCUUCUUUUAAUACAGGAGGGUCAUGACGGUACCGUAAGAAUAAGCACCGGCUAACUACGUG
rnacentral:rRNA from 1 species